CGCCCGGGGCCUGGUGACGGCCGCUGCUGGGCGGCUGCGAGCUGCGGCCCUGCUGCCCCACACAGGCCCAACCCCCCCCGCCCCGGGAAACGGCCCUUUGGCACCGGCAGAGCGGGGAGCAGCGUCUGCCGACAAUCCCGUACCAGAGAAACCAUCGCUCUAGCGAAGCGAGUCGUACCAGUGCAGGCCGCGGCGCUCACGUAGGCCUGUCAGCGAAACGCGGCCUUGUCCCCUUCCGGGGUGGCUGGGGUGACCCGGGGGUGCCAGCACAUUGCUUGGUGCCACUUGAUCCAGGACACAGGAUUUUCCCAACCUGAUGGGAAUUCAUUUGUGAGGAAAACAAAUAAUACGAGCAAAACUGCCUCGAUGAGGAUGUCAUAUGUUCCAAGGGCACCCUCAAAACCAGAUUUGCUCUUUACUAAUCAGCAUAGGAUGGAGCCCGAUGCCUGGCGAAGCAGUUUGCUACCCUCCAGAACACGCCCAGCUCCCUGAGACCGAGUACGCCCUACGCACCUGAACAGAUCCGAUGCAGCCAGGGGUUUUGCUGGUAUAAAACCCACUAAAAAGCCUCUACACUAGACCUACACGUAGCACACUUGACUUGAGAAUCACUAGCAACUGGUAAUUAAAGAAGUUUUGCUGGAUAGUUGUGAAAUUAUAGUACUACAUGAGGAAAAUAUACCAAGAGAGGGGCAACACCAGCAAGCCUGUCUGUCAACCAUUUUUCAGAAAGAUAACAAGAGAGACUCUCCGUUUAACGAAACCCACUCCUAUCACAUCGCAUCACACUCCACCAGUUGUCCCUCACUGCAGUACAGCCACCAAGGAGGCAGCUGGCUUUCUGACUGAUAAAGCACAUAGUCACGUAACACCGUGGAAUUAACCUGGAAAAGAUCCCCCGGUGUUUCAGAUUUGACUGGCUGUCCCGACCCGCGGGUAGCAGCAGCCGUUGGCGUAGAUAUCACUGGGUAACCAUAGCGGUGAAGGACUCACCACAUUUAGGCUUUGUUUAUGCAUGGUGUUGGAUCUGCUCAUUAAAACUUGACAUUAAGUUGUAUAACUACUAAAAUACCACUUCUGUACACAAAUUCAUGAGGAUUCCCUCUGUACAAGUUGUAAACCCUUCUCACGGUGACUUUUCCUAUCUAUGCAAACUAUCAGUCCAGUAUUUAAUCCAUCCCCCUCUCAACCACGCUUCUGCUGGUCGGAUCGGGGGAAUUCAACUCUUCCUUCUGCAACAACAACAUCCACUUUUACAACUAUUUUCAAUGAAUAUUGGAUGAAUGGUAAUGAGUGUGGGAUAGUCCACAGCAGUGUUUGGGCAAGCCAAGUUUUCAUCCACCUUUAGCAAGUCAAUCAUCCAAGACCUUUGCAAAUAAAUUUCAUGUAGUUAAACAGUAUUUCAGUUGUAUUUGUGUUUAACGUGACUGCAGCUAGCUUGGCCCCCGCUCAAGUUAUGGAUUGACCCUUUUGUUAUGUUACAGUGUGGUCUGAGAAGCAGCACGCUGUAUGGUAUGUAAUCCAUGUAAAAAUUAGUGCUUUUAUGUUAUUUGUCUUCUUUAGUGGUCAGCUGCAGGUUGUGGGUGCCAGGUCAUUGUGCUGGGAGCUGCCACCCAAAUUGCAGCCCCUCCUGCCUCCCCUCUCCUGAUCACAGCUGCAUCUGUCUUGGGGAUAUUCCGUAUUUUGGCGCUUGUGCAUUGCACCAGCUUACUAAACGUUUUGACAUUGGUGUAGGAGAAUGUAUCUGCUUUUCCUAGAUCCCUUUUUAGAAAUGUUUCUUGCCUGCCAACUCUGUGGAGUAAACUAUAAAGAGACUGAAAAAGCUCUAGACUUCUGGUUGUGGUCUCUACUCUGAAGGGCGACGGCACACAGAUACACAUGAGGAUAAAGACCCAUUCCAGCCAUAUCCACGCAACUGCUAUUUCUGCCACAGAAAGCAGUGGCAGGGCAUGAGGGGUGAUGGAAGGCGUGUUGUGAUCCAUUCUACUUCCCAGACCCUUUUGGGAAAACCAGCUGCUCACCAGCUGCUCCUCCGCUUGUAUCUGUGCACCUGAUCAUUUGUGCCUAAGUGUUUGACUUUGAGCUGGUCCGCAUUGAGUUUCAGUCCUCAAAA